GGGCGUAAGGGCUCGUAGGUGGUUGAUCGCGUCGGAAGUGUAAUCUUGGGGCUUAACCCUAAGCGUGCCUUCGAUACGGGUUGACUUGAGGAAGGUAGGGGAGAAUGGAAUUCCUGGUGGAGCGGUGGAAUGCGCAGAUACCAGGAGGAACACCAGUGGCGAAGGCGGUUCUCUGGGCCUUUCCUGACGCUGAGGAGCGAAAGCGUGGGGAGCGAACAGGCUUAGAUACCCUGGUAGUCCACGCUGUAAACGGUGGGUACUAGGUGUGGGGUCCAUUCCACGGGUUCCGUGCCGUAGCUAACGCUUUAAGUACCCCGCCUGGGGAGUACGGCCGCAAGGCUAAAACUCAAAGGAAUUGACGGGGCCCCGCACAAGCGGCGGAGCAUGCGGAUUAAUUCGAUGCAACGCGUAGAACCUUACCUGGGUUUGACAUGGAUCGGGAGCGCUCAGAGAUGGGUGUGCCUCUUUUGGGGUCGGUUCACAGGUGGUGCAUGGCUGUCGUCAGCUCGUGUCGUGAGAUGUUGGGUUAAGUCCCGCAACGAGCGCAACCCUUGUUCACUGUUGCCAGCACGUUAUGGUGGGGACUCAGUGGAGACCGCCGGGGUCAACUCGGAGGAAGGU
rnacentral:rRNA from 1 species